UGGGGGAUGAGCUCAGUGGUAGAGCACAUGCUUAGCAUUCAUGAGGUCCUGGGUUCAAUUCCCAGUACCUCUG
rnacentral:tRNA from 1 species